rnacentral:rRNA from 1 species
UGGGGAAUCUUGCGCAAUGGGCGAAAGCCUGACGCAGCGACGCCGCGUGAGGGAAGAAGGCUUUCGGGUUGUAAACCUCUUUCAGGAGGGACGAAGCUACUCGGGUGAAUAGCCCAGAGGGUGACGGUACCUCCAGAAGAAGCCUCGGCUAACUACGUGCCAGCAGCCGCGGUAAUACGUAGGGGGCAAGCGUUGUCCGGAUUUAUUGGGCGUAAAGAGCGUGUAGGCGGCCUGGUAGGUCAGCUGUGAAAACUCGAGGCUCAACCGCGAGACGCCCGUUGAAACCAUCAGGCUAGAGUCCGGAAGAGGAGAGUGGAAUUCCAGGUGUAGCGGUGAAAUGCGCAGAUAUCGGGAAGAACACCAGUGGCUAAGGCGGCUAUCUAGUACGGUACUGACGCGGAGACGCGAAAGCGUGGGGAGCGAACAGG